AGUGAACGCUGGCGGCGUGCUUAACACAUGCAAGUCGAACGAGAACGGAAUAUAGCUUGCUAUAUUUGUCAGCUAAGUGGCGCACGGGUGAGUAAUGUAUAGAUAACCUGCCCUUUAGAAAGGAAUAACAGUUGGAACCGACUGCUAAUGCCCUAUAUGCCUUUAAUACAUAAGUAUGCAAGGGAAACGCUUUAGUGCUAGAGGAUGGGUCUGUAUGGUAUCAGCUUGUUGGUGAGGUAAUGGCUCACCAAGGCUAUGACGCCUAACUGGUUUGAGAGGAUGAUCAGUCACACUGGAACUGAGACACGGUCCAGACUCCUACGGGAGGCAGCAGUGGGGAAUAUUGCACAAUGGACGAAAGUCUGAUGCAGCAACGCCGCGUGGAGGAUGACACAUUUCGGUGCGUAAACUCCUUUUAUAUAGGAAGAUAAUGACGGUACUAUAUGAAUAAGCACCGGCUAACUCCGUGCCAGCAGCCGCGGUAAAAC
rnacentral:rRNA from 1 species